AGCCCCUAGCGCAGACGGCGGAGAGCAGAGAGGGAGCGCGCCUUGGCUCGCUGGCCUUGGCGGCGGCUCCUCAGGAGAGCUGGGGCGCCCACGAGAGGAUCCCUCACCCGGGUCUCUCCUCAGGGAUGACAUCAUCCGUCCACCUCCUUGUCUUCAAGGACCACCUCCUCUCCAUGCUGAGCUGCUGCCAAGGGGCCUGCUGCCCAUCUACACCUCACGAGGGCACUAGGAGCACGGUUUCCUGGAUCCCACCAACAUACAAAGCAGCCACUCACUGACCCCCAGGACCAGGAUGGCAAAGGAUGAAGAGGACCGGAACUGACCAGCCAGCUGUCCCUCUUACCUAAAGACUUAAACCAAUGCCCUAGUGAGGGGGCAUUGGGCAUUAAGCCCUGACCUUUGCUAUGCUCAUACUUUGACUCUAUGAGUACUUUCCUAUAAGUCUUUGCUUGUGUUCACCUGCUAGCAAACUGGAGUGUUUCCCUCCCCAAGGGGGUGUCAGUCUUUGUCGACUGACUCUGUCAUCACCCUUAUGAUGUCCUGAAUGGAAGGAUCCCUUUGGGAAAUUCUCAGGAGGGGGACCUGGGCCAAGGGCUUGGCCAGCAUCCUGCUGGCAACUCCAAGGCCCUGGGUGGGCUUCUGGAAUGAGCAUGCUACUGAAUCACCAAAGGCACGCCCGACCUCUCUGAAGAUCUUCCUAUCCUUUUCUGGGGGAAUGGGGUCGAUGAGAGCAACCUCCUAGGGUUGUUGUGAGAAUUAAAUGAGAUAAAAGAGGCCUCAGGCAGGAUCUGGCAUAGAGGAGGUGAUCAGCAAAUGUUUGUUGAAAAGGUUUGACAGGUCAGUCCCUUCCCACCCCUCUUGCUUGUCUUACUUGUCUUAUUUAUUCUCCAACAGCACUCCAGGCAGCCCUUGUCCACGGGCUCUCCUUGCAUCAGGUAGGGGCUUUGCAGAGACCAUCGACGGGCUGACUUGACCAAGCUUCUUGAAAGGCCUGUCUACACUUGCUGUCUUCCUUCCUCACCUCCAAUUUCCUCUUCAACCCACUGCUUCCUGACUCGCUCUACUCCGUGGAAGCACGCUCACAAAGGCACGUGGGCCGUGGCCCGGCUGGGUCGGCUGAAGAACUGCGGAUGGAAGCUGCGGAAGAGGCCCUGAUGGGGCCCACCAUCCCGGACCCAAGUCUUCUUCCUGGCGGGCCUCUCGUCUCCUUCCUGGUUUGGGCGGAAGCCAUCACCUGGAUGCCUACGUGGGAAGGGACCUCGAAUGUGGGACCCCAGCCCCUCUCCAGCUCGAAAUCCCUCCACAGCCACGGGGACACCCUGCACCUAUUCCCACGGGACAGGCUGGACCCAGAGACUCUGGACCCGGGGCCUCCCCUUGAGUAGAGACCCGCCCUCUGACUGAUGGACGCCGCUGACCUGGGGUCAGACCCGUGGGCUGGACCCCUGCCCACCCCGCAGGAACCCUGAGGCCUAGGGGAGCUGUUGAGCCUUCAGUGUCUGCAUGUGGGAAGUGGGCUCCUUCACCUACCUCACAGGGCUGUUGUGAGGGGCGCUGUGAUGCGGUUCCAAAGCACAGGGCUUGGCGCACCCCACUGUGCUCUCAAUAAAUGUGUUUCCUGUCUUAACAAAAA
rnacentral:lncRNA from 1 species